rnacentral:misc_RNA from 1 species
UCUGUGGGGCCCUGCAAUAUUUUAG